AACUUUUUUUGCUAAUAUUUCAAUUUUUAGGGCCUUUAUGAAAGUCAAGAAGAAAACAACGAAUUCGAGGAAGAAAUCAAUAAAAUCAAAAAAGAACUCUCUGAAAGAAACGCCAAAAUCCACGAACUCAAAAUAGAAAUAUCACGUUUGCAAAAAGAAACCACUUUACUCGAACUUGAAAGGUCCGAUAUUGCACAACAGCUGCACGAGACCCAAAGGAAACUGGAAACGGAAAAAAGUCUCGGGGAGCAACUGAAAAACACCCAGAAACUGUUUUUGGCUUCGAUAAUGCAGCUUCGGGACGACGGUAAAGUCGCCGCUUCAGAUUGCAUACAUUUGUUGCAUAUGGUCAGGAGCGCAACUGCGAUAUCCAAAAUUGAACGUGCGAAGAGUGAGUCGACCUUUCAAAAGUGAACAAUGUAGAGAAAUAAAGAUUUUUGGCUGUU